rnacentral:rRNA from 1 species
UGGCAUAUAGCUCAGUAACACGUGGCCAAACUACCCUACAGACCGCAAUAACCUCGGGAAACUGAGGCCAAUAGCGGAUAUCACUCUCAGACUGGAGUGUCGAGAGUGAGAAACGUUCCGGCGCUGUAGGAUGUGGCUGCGGCCGAUUAGGUAGAUGGUGGGGUAACGGCCCACCAUGCCGAUAAUCGGUACGGGUUGUGAGAGCAAGAACCCGGAGACGGUAUCUGAGACAAGAUACCGGGCCCUACGGGGCGCAGCAGGCGCGAAACCUUUACACUGCACGACAGUGCGAUAGGGGGACUCCGAGUGUGAGGGCAUAUAGCCCUCGCUUUUCUGAACCGUAAGGUGGUUCAGGAACAAGGACUGGGCAAGACCGGUGCCAGCCGCCGCGGUAAUACCGGCAGUCCAAGUGAUGGCCGAUAUUAUUGGGCCUAAAGCGUCCGUAGCUUGCCGGGUAAGUCCAUUGGGAAAUCGACCCGCUCAACUGGUCGGCGUCCGGCGGAAACUGCCCGGCUUGGGGCCGA